UACGAAGGGGGCUAGCGUUGCUCGGAAUGACUGGGCGUAAAGGGCGCGUAGGCGGCUGUGACAGUCAGAUGUGAAAUUCCUGGGCUCAACCUGGGGGCUGCAUUUGAUACGUGAUGGCUGGAGUGGGGAAGAGGGUCGUGGAAUUCCCAGUGUAGAGGUGAAAUGCGUAGAUAUCCGGAGGAAUACCAAAGGCGAAGGCAGUGUCCUGGCUGGCAUCUGACGCUGAGGCGCGAAAGCUAGGGGAGCGAACAGG
rnacentral:rRNA from 1 species